rnacentral:rRNA from 1 species
GUCUGCAACUCGACUGCGUGAAGCUGGAAUCGCUAGUAAUCGCGGAUCAGCAUGCCGCGGUGAAUACGUUCCCGGGCCUUGUACACACCGCCCGUCACACCACGAGAGUUUGUAACACCCGAAGUCGGUGAGGUAACCUUUUAGGAGCCAGCCGCCGAAGGUGGGACAGAUGAUUGGGGUGAAGUCGUAACAAGGUAGCCGUAUCGGAAGGUGCGGCUGGAUCACCUCCUUUCUAAGGA